rnacentral:tRNA from 1 species
CAGGUUUUCAUCCUGUAAACCGGGGUUCGAUUCCCCGUAGCGGUA